ACGGGAGGCAGCAGUGGGGAAUAUUGCACAAUGGGGGAAACCCUGAUGCAGCGACGCCGCGUGAGUGAAGAAGUAUUUCGGUAUGUAAAGCUCUAUCAGCAGGGAAGAUAAUGACGGUACCUGACUAAGAAGCCCCGGCUAACUACGUGCCAGCAGCCGCGGUAAUACGUGGGGGGCAAGCGUUAUCCGGAUUUACUGGGUGUAAAGGGAGCGUAGGUGGCGUGGCAAGUCAGAAGUGAAAGCCCGGGGCUCAACCCCGGGACUGCUUUUGAAACUGUCAUGCUGGAGUGCAGGAGAGGUAAGUGGAAUUCCUAGUGUAGCGGUGAAAUGCGUAGAUAUUAGGAGGAACACCAGUGGCGAAGGCGGCUUACUGGACUGUAACUGACACUGAGGCUCGAAAGCGUGGGGAGCAAACAGGAUUAGAUACCCUGGUA
rnacentral:rRNA from 1 species